rnacentral:rRNA from 1 species
GAAGGAAGAAGGAUUAAGUAUGUAUCCCGACAUGUGCCGAAGAGGACUCAAGUGAAUUCCUUAUCAGGAGUUGUACAGGAGGAAGUACCAAUGGUGAAGGAAUUCCCUGACGUAUUUCCAGAGGAGUUGCCAGGCAUGCCACCGGAUAGAGACAUCGAGUUUUUGAUUGAGCUUUUGCCAGGCACUGGGCCAAUAUCUAAGAGACCGUAUAGGAUGCCCGCUAAGGAUUUGGAAGAAAUUAAGAAGCAGAUUAAGGAGUUACUGGAUAAAGGAUAUAUUCGCCCUAGUUCGUCACCUUGG